AUUUUAGAUGGGUUGCCUGUCGUAUAUAUGGAUGGAUAGUCAUGUGUGGGCUUUAGGUGAGCUAUGAAUGAGUGAUCUCGCUCAUAAAGAAACCUACAAACAUUG
rnacentral:snoRNA from 1 species